rnacentral:rRNA from 1 species
UACAGAGGGUGCAAACGUUGUUCGGAUUUACUGGGCGUAAAGCGCGUGUAGGCUGCUUCGCAAGUCGGAUGUGAAAGCCCUGGGCUCAACCCAGGAAGUGCAUUCGAAACUGCAGAGCUGGAGUCCUGGAGAGGAAGGCGGAAUUCUCGGUGUAGAGGUGAAAUUCGUAGAUAUCAAGAGGAACACCUGAGGUGAAGACGGGUUGCUGGGCCGACACUGACGCUGAGUGCGCGAAAGCCAGGGGAGCAAACGGG